rnacentral:piRNA from 1 species
UCACAGCAAGUAAAAGUGGUUGAUAUUC